GGCUCGUGGUAAUUUCUCUAAGGUCCUCCCACGCGGGUGUUUUCGGAGAAAAGUCCCCCAGGUGAGGCCUGAGUACCGUUUGCCGGGGCUAAUGGCCUCACCUGGUACAUUGAACGCUUUCCGCCUUCCGCCGUUGCCCACGAUUCGAGAGAUUAUUAAGUUGUUCAAACUACAAGCAGUGAAGCAGCUCUCCCAGAAUUUCCUCCUGGACUUGAGGCUGACAGAUAAAAUUGUAAGAAAAGCUGGCAAUCUGACAAAUGCUUAUGUUUAUGAAGUUGGUCCUGGGCCAGGGGGAAUCACAAGAUCCAUUCUCAAUGCCCGUGUUGCUGAACUUCUGGUGGUUGAAAAGGACACUCGAUUUAUUCCUGGAUUACAGAUGCUUUCUGAAGCAGCACCUGGAAAAUUGAGAAUUGUCCAUGGAGAUGUGUUGACAUACAAGAUAGAAAAGGCUUUUCCAGAAAGUCUUAAAAGACAGUGGGAGGAUGAUCCUCCAGAUGUGCAUAUUAUUGGAAAUCUUCCGUUUAGUGUAUCAACUCCACUGAUUUUCAAGUGGCUUGAAAAUGUUUCUUGUAGAAAUGGACCUUUUGCUUAUGGCAGAACCCAGAUGACUUUGACUUUUCAAAAGGAAGUGGCAGAGAGGCUCACAGCCAGCAAAGGAAGCAAGCAGCGUAGUCGGCUCUCCAUCAUGGCCCAGUACCUCUGCCAUGUUCGGAAUAGCUUUACAAUUCCAGGUCGAGCAUUUGUCCCCAAGCCAAAGGUGGAUGUGGGAGUGGUACACUUCACUCCCUUGGUGCAACCCAAGAUCGAGCAGCCAUUCAAGCUGGUGGAAAAAGUCGUGCAGAAUGCAUUUCAGUUCCGAAGGAAAUACUGCCAUCGAGGGCUUGGAAUGUUAUUUCCUGAAGCUCAGCGCUUAGAAAACACUGGAAAACUGUUAAAGUUGGCAGACGUGGACCCGACUCUUCGGCCCUAUCAGCUCUCUGUCUCCCAUUUUAAGAGCCUCUGUGAUGUGUACAGAAAAAUGUGUGAGGAAGAUCCACUCCUCUUUGCUUAUAACUUCAGAGAAGAACUGAGGCACAGUAAAGGCACAAAACCGGGAAAAGAGGACAAGACAGAGAAUUACAGAUUCUAGCAGCUACUUUAGGUGCAAACAGCCUACAGAAAGUUGAUCUGCACAAUGCUGGGCAUCUUAUAUGUGUAUUUUGUCUUCUACAGAAUAAAAAUACCAAUUACCAGUUACAAGGACCUCAGCCUUCAACACCCAGCUCCCAGCAGCCUGAACCUUUGGAAUGCACAGAGGUGACGCUCCCAUCUCACAGGCAUGGCAUUUGGACCCCCUUUGGCAGUGAUCAGCGCCUGAGUGCCAUAAAGAUUGUGCACAGGAACCCAGGUGCAUUUCGUUUUGAGAAUGCCACUGCACACACAACUGUCCUUUGGGUUUCACCAGCUAGCACCGGUUGACCAGCUAUUGAGAAUGCAGACCUGAAUGGAAAUAUAUCACUUUGCUAGAGGUUCUGUUACAAGGGCAAAAUCUACAACUUCCAACCCACGCAGUUUUGAAUUUUGACUUUGAUUACCAUUUUGAAUGUAAUUACUAGACCAAAUGGCCGGUGAGAUAAUCAUCUUUAUGACAAAGGAGGAGUUGCACAAACAAUUGGUAUACUUUUAUUUUACUAUAUACUGCCAAGAAGAAAGUGUUCCUGGUAGGAAAUGCCAGAGGAGUCAGACCUUUGUUUAAAGCCACUAAAGGAGGAUUUGGAAUGGAUAUUCAGAAGCUAAAGGUCUUAUUCAUUUGAAGCAAUCCCACCACUCAGGAUUCCAUUUUUUAAACCUGAGCCUUUUCUUUGGGGACACCAUGAAGAUCUGGAUGUAAUCCAAAUGGCAAAGCUGCAUCAGGGGAAUUGGUUACAUACUAUGAAUGCCAGGAUAAACUUCUACACAACCGCCAAGACACUGUGGAGAAACCAUGCCCGGGUUUUUAGAAAACAAAAACAAAAACAAAAACAAAAAAACAAAAACAGGAAAACAUCAAAAAGCAGCCUCUGGAUCCUUUUUGACAAUGCUAUCUGAAGCAGUUGAUGACAAACAGAGGAGUGGCUGCCUUUUAUCAGGUGGCUUGGAAUUUAGCUUGGCUGCUGUUACCCUGUUGGAGCAACCAAGAGUUCAAAGUACAGAACCCUCUUCAAACAGAUGCCACUGUCCUGGUAGAGAGCCCAGUUCACUGGCUUCCAGAGAAGUGGCAAAUCACCUGGGAGGGAACCCUGGGAGGUCAUCCUCAAGUCUGAAGAAGGCAGUCAGGUCCUCGAGAGAGUCAUUUUUAUGC